CGGAAGGUCCGGCGUUAUCCGGAUUAUUGGGUUUAAGGGGAGCGUAGGCCGGAGAUUAAGCGUGUUGUGAAAUGUAGACGCUCAACGUCUGCACUGCAGCGCGAACUGGUUUCCUUGAGUACGCAUAAAGUGGGCGGAAUUCGUGGUGUAGCGGUGAAAUGCUUAGAUAUCACGAAGAACUCCGAUUGCGAAGGCAGCUCACUGGGGCGCAACUGACGCUGAAAGCUCGAAAGCGCGGGGUAUCGAACAGGAUU
rnacentral:rRNA from 1 species